GCGAACGCUGGCGGCAGGCCUAACACAUGCAAGUCGAGCGCUCGUAGCAAUACGGGAGCGGCAGACGGGUGAGUAACACGUGGGAACGUGCCCUUUGGUUCGGAAUAACUCAGGGAAACUUGAGCUAAUACCGGAUAAGCCCUUACGGGGAAAGAUUUAUCGCCAAAGGAUCGGCCCGCGUCUGAUUAGCUUGUUGGUGGGGUAAUGGCCCACCAAGGCUACGAUCAGUAGCUGGCUGAGAGGAUGAUCAGCCACAUUGGGACUGAGACACGGCCCAAACUCCUACGGGAGGCAGCAGUGGGGAAUAUUGGACAAUGGGCGCAAGCCUGAUCCAGCCAUGCCGCGUGAGUGAUGAA
rnacentral:rRNA from 1 species